GAGCUAUGAUGAAAUUGCAGUGAUAGAGGGUCUAUCACAUUCUCCUUCUGGUUGAAAUAAAGCUUAUCUGAGCUC